UUUUUCCUUUUGCUUUUCCUUGGAGUACCUCCUCUGUCCCAUCAUCUAUUCCUUCUUUUUGCCAUGACUAUCCACAUCCUACUGAUGUAUCUGCUUCAUCUUCUAUUCCUCCUCCCUGCCUUGACUAUCCUGCUUCUCCUAAUCUUCUAUCAAUCAGUCCUUCCCAUUCCCCUGCUUCUUCUCCUUCAUUUCCUACUUCUACUUCCAAUUCACCCUCUAAUACUAUACCUUUGUCUGACCCUAUUCC
rnacentral:lncRNA from 1 species